GAUUGCCUCAGUAACGGGCGAGUGAAGCGGCAACAGCUCAAAUUUGAAAUCUGGCCCUAGGCCCGAGUUGUAAUUUGCAGAGGAUGCUUUUGGUGCGGUGCCUUCCAAGUUCCCUAGAACGGGACGCCAGAGAGGGUGAGAGCCCCGUACAGUUGGACACCAAGCCUUUGUAAAGCUCCUUCGACGAGUCGAGUAGUUUGGGAAUGCUGCUCAAAAUGGGAGGUAUAUUUCUUCUAAAGCUAAAUACCGGCCAGAGACCGAUAGCGCACAAGUAGAGUGAUCGAAAGAUGAAAAGCACUUUGAAAAGAGGGUUAAACAGCACGUGAAAUUGUUAAAAGGGAAGCGCUUGUGACCAGACUUGCGUCCGGUGAAUCACCCAGCUCUCGCGGCUGGGGCACUUCGCCGGCUCAGGCCAGCAUCAGCUCGCUGUCGGGGACAAAAGCUUCAGGAACGUAGCUCUCUUCGGGGAGUGUUAUAGCCUGUUGCAUAAUACCCUUCGGCGGGCUGAGGUACGCGCUCCGCAAGGAUGCUGGCAUAAUGGUCAUCAGCGACCCGUCUUGAAACACGGACCAAGGAGUCAACCUUAUGUGCGAGUGUUCGGGUGUCAAACCCCUACGCGUAAUGAAAGUGAACGCAGGUGAGAGCUUCGGCGCAUCAUCGACCGAUCCUGAUGUUCUCGGAUGGAUUUGAGUAAGAGCAUAUAGGGUUGGACCCGAAAGAAGGUGAACUAUGCGUGUAUAGGGUGAAGCCAGAGGAAACUCUGGUGGAGGCUCGCAGCGGUUCUGACGUGCAAAUCGAUCGUCAAAUAUGCGCAUGGGGGCGAAAGACUAAUCGAACCUUCUAGUAGCUGGUUUCCGCCGAAGUUUCCCUCAGGAUAGCAGUGUUGAACUCAGUUUUAUGAGGUAAAGCGAAUGAUUA
rnacentral:rRNA from 1 species